rnacentral:rRNA from 1 species
UACGGAGGGUGCAAGCGUUAUCCGGAUUCACUGGGUUUAAAGGGUGCGUAGGCGGGCAGGUAAGUCAGUGGUGAAAUCUCUAGGCUUAACCUGGAAACUGCCAUGGAUACUAUAGGUCUUGAAUACUGUGGAGGUCAGCGGAAUAUGUCAUGUAGCGGUGAAAUGCUUAGAUAUGACAUAGAACACCAAUUGCGAAGGCAGCUGGCUACACAAAUAUUGACACUGAGGCACGAAAGCGUGGGGAUCAAACAGG